rnacentral:rRNA from 1 species
GUCCACGCCUUAAACUAUGAAUACUAAGUGUCGGCGGUUUACCGCCGGUGCCGCAGCUAACGCAUUAAGUAUUCCGCCUGGGAAGUACGGCCGCAAGGUUGAAACUCAAAGGAAUUGACGGGGGCCCGCACAAGCGGUGGAGCAUGUGGUUUAAUUCGACGCAACGCGAAGAACCUUACCAGGCUGGACAUGCAGGUAGUAGAAGGGUGAAAGCCCAAUGAGGUAGCAAUACCAUCCUGCUCAGGUGCUGCAUGGCUGUCGU